ensembl:lncRNA
GCUUCUGCAUGAAUAAAUGCUGCUUGCUCAUUCUGUAGUGCUCCAGGAAGAGAUGUGCAAAGUUGUUACCUUCCUGCUAUUCCAAUGUACAACAGCUAAGUCUCUUUUAUCCUUAGGAAAACUACAAGUUUGAGCAAGGUAGGUAUAUACAAAUACUAGAACUCGGCUGGAGGAAAAGAAAUCUUCAUGGAGAGAAGUGGAAACAAAACAUCCAGUCCCCACCAAAGGCUCCCAAAUCCAAGGUUUAACUGUGUAAUGGGACUUCCUUUUAGGAAUGUCAUGAAUUAUUUUGAGACUGUGAUAAGAACCAUGGAUGCAGACUUCUCUGGUGUUCUGGUAGUAAAGAAUCCAACUACCAAUAUAGAUGACACAGGUUCAAUCCCUAGUCUAGGAAGAUUCUGCAUGUUGCCAGAGUAACUAAACCCUCACACUGCAACUACAGAGCGUAAGUGCUGCACUUAGAGAAAGCCCACGGGCAGCAAUGAAGACCUGGUGCAGCAAAAAAAAGAACCAUGGAUGCUUAUUCUUAGCAAAUUGACAUACAUGCAAUUGUACAUGGACUCAUAGAAGAUUUAUGGACGCUGCAAAGGCUGUCUUCAGACUCUAGGUAAAAAAAUCCUGAUCCAGAGUAAAGUAGAAAUUAUCAAC